GAUGAACGCUGGCGGCGUACUUAACACACGCAAGUCGAACGGUGAACGAGGGAGCUUGCUCCCUCCGGAUCAGUGGCGAACGGGUGAGUAACACGUGAGCAAUCUGCCCUGGACUCUGGGAUAAGCGUUGGAAACGACGUCUAAUACCGGAUACGAGACGUGAAGGCAUCUUCAACGUCUGGAAAGAACUUCGGUCCAGGAUGAGCUCGCGGCCUAUCAGGUAGUUGGUGAGGUAACGGCUCACCAAGCCUACGACGGGUAGCCAGCCUGAGAGGGUGACCGGCCACACUGGGACUGAGACACGGCCCAGACUCCUACGGGAGGCAGCAGUGGGGAAUAUUGCACAAUGGGCGCAAGCCUGAUGCAGCAACGCCGCGUGAGGGACGACGGCCUUCGGGUUGUAAACCUCUUUUAGCAGGGAAGAAGCGAAAGUGACGGUACCUGCAGAAAAAGCACCGGCUAACUACGUGCCAGCCGCCGCAGUAACAC
rnacentral:rRNA from 1 species